rnacentral:lncRNA from 11 species
GCUUCCUCAGAGUCAAGCUGCAGCUGUUGUUGUUCCCUGCUUUCCACAGACUCAUAUGCUAGGCCUGGCUGCCCUUCAUCUUUGUCUGUAUUGCAGACCCUGACAGCUUAUGACCUGACUUUGCCACUGGUCAGAGGGGGCAGCGGGGAGAAUCUGUCAGCCCAUGCACUGCUCCCUCAGAGUGAUGCUUACCACAUUACCACAUGUGAAGUGCGGCCCUUCCAGCAAGAAACUGUGCUGGCUCCAUUGGAACUAGCACAACAUGGGCAGGCUCCCAUGUUGUGGGAGUCACCAAGAAAUAAAGUUGACAGAAGAGCUUAAUUCAUAUUUUCAUCAAGUCCUUUCUGGAUACAGAGGAAUCAGUUUGGCCAUGGGCAAAUAUAAUUAUUAUUCUCAUGAGAUUUCAAGUUCCCCCUCCGAUUUCCGGGAGAGAGGUGCACCAGCAUUCUGGAAGCAUAGGAGCAGCUUCGAACUGCCAAAGAAGGAAGCAAGAAAGUGAACAUUCUCCCCUAUGAGCUACUCAGAAUAGCUGAGAGAUACCCUACUUCCUAGUGCUGGAGCAGCAAUCACCCUUUUGCUCAUCACCCUGGAAAUGCAAAAAUCGGGAAGAACUUUCUUGCUUUUCCCCCCAGCAAUAAAAUAUUAUACUGCCAAGGAAAUUGUGUAAGAAAUAAGUGAAGAAUUGGACCUGAGAACUAUACGAUGGUCUAGGAGUCAGGUAACCUAACCAUGAAGGAACUGGCAAGGUUAGGUGGGGAUAAUUCAAAACAGAAUUUAUUAACGUAGAUAUUGAUUAAGGAUGUGAAACAGAGGAGGGGACUGACACUGAUAACUUUUGGCUGUGUUUUACUGAUGUUAUAGGUCAUAGUUAUGGAGAUAGUGAAGUUUGUGAGUACAAACAAGAACAAGCUUGUCUUUUGCCUUCCCCACAGAUGAAUACUGAAAGAAAAUCCAUAAUUUCAGCCACAGGCAUAUGCUUGUAGUAUUUACUAGCAAAGGAUGUACUGUUCUCAACACUGGAUUAAAUUUAGUUGAAACUACAGGAUAAUGGCAGGCCAUCCAAUCUUUCUCUGAUUAACCGUGCAUUACAUUGUGAGGUUGUAAAACCUAGCAUUUCCAAUCUGUAUUCUGUUAGAAAAACAGUAAAGGUUCAGCUGCACUAACAUAAACAGAGGACAAUGACUGAAUCACAGCACUGGAAGAGGAGGGUUGUGAAGAAGGAAAAACUAAAAAGUCGUAUAGUUAUUCUUUCCAAGUGGACCAUUAGCUUUGAGGCACUGAACUAGGAGUGACUCCAUUUGAGCUUUGAGCUACAUAUUAAGGUUAAAAUGAGUGAGUACAAACUCUAAUUACAAAAACC